UGGCUUGGAUCUUUCUGCAAACA
rnacentral:miRNA from 1 species